rnacentral:rRNA from 1 species
UUGGAGGGCAAGUCUGGUGCCAGCAGCCGCGGUAAUUCCAGCUCCAAUAGCGUAUAUUAAAGUUGUUGCAGUUAAAAAGCUCGUAGUUGAAUUUCGGGAUCAUCAGGUUGGUCGUGCCUCUGGUAUGUACUUUCCUCGAUGGUUCCUCCUUCUUGAAGAACCGUAAUGCCAUUAAUUUGGUGUUGCGGGGAAUCAGGACUGUUACUUUGAAAAAAUUAGAGUGUUUAAAGCAGGCAAUCGCUUGAAUACAUUAGCAUGGAAUAAUGAAAUAGGACGUUCGAUCCUAUUUUGUUGGUUUCUAGGAUUGACGUAAUGAUUAAUAGGGAUAGUUGGGGGCAUUAGUAUUCAAUUGUCAGAGGUGAAAUUCUUGGAUUUAUUGAAGACUAACUACUGCGAAAGCAUUUGCCAAGGAUGUUUUCAUUAAUCAAGAACGAAAGUUAGGGGAUCGAAGACGAUCAGAUACCGUCGUAGUCUUAACCAUAGACUAUGCCGACUAGGGAUCGGAUGAUGUUAAUUUUUUAAUGACUCAUUCGGCGCCUUACGGGAAAC